UCAGAAUCAACGCUGGCGGCGUAGCCUAACACAUGCAAGUCGAACGAGAAAGUGGAGCAAUCCAUGAGUACAGUGGCGCACGGGUGAAGUAACACGUGACUAACCUACCUUCGAGCCGGGGAAUAACCUCGGGAAACCGGGGCUAAUACCGCAUAACAUCAUCGGGUGAAAUCCCUGCUGAUCAAAAGUUUUUUGCUUGAAGAGGGGGUCGCGGCUGAUUAGGCUAGUUGGUGAGGUAACGGCUCACCAAGGCGGUGAUCAGUAGCCGGCCUGAGAGGGCGCACGGCCACACUGGAACUGAAACACGGUCCAGACUCCUACGGGAGGCAGCAGUGGGGGAAUUUUGCGCAAUGGGGGGAAAAACCCCUGACGCAGCAACGCCGCGUGGAGGAUGAAGUCCCUUGGGACGUAAACUCCUUUCGAUCGGGAAGAAUAAUGACGGUACCGGAAGAAGAAGCCCCGGCUAACUUCGUGCCAGCCGCUGC
rnacentral:rRNA from 1 species